CAUUCAUUUUUCUCCAGGGAAAUUAGAAAUUUCUUAGAAAUGACCUCUGUUGGAGCAGCACCAUGGAAAAAUAUCUUCACCACAAACAACUCCGUUUCUCAAGUAUGCAGAGCCAUUGAUGCAAAAUGCAUUUGACUCAUCGUUGGAAGAGACGUUAUAUUUAGUGGUGGAGCUGGUAGGAUAUUUUUAGAAAUAGUAAAGUUCACAGAAUUUUUAAUGUGUUGAAGGUCUUUAGAAGAUAAGGUUUUUAGGGAUAUUUCACAGAAAAGACGCUUCAAUGCUGAUCAAUCUCUACACUUGCCACUAUGUAAGUACAAUGUCCAGAAGUUUUAUGCUUGAAGAAAUGGGUCUUCUGCAAUAAAGCACUAUUCAUAGGACACCUUAUCAUGUAGGCAUCCGAAAUGUCUAAUACAAACACCAAAGAAAAAUA
rnacentral:lncRNA from 1 species